AGUAACGCGUGGGUAACCUGCCUUGUACAGGGGGAUAACAGUUGGAAACGGCUGCUAAUACCGCAUAAGCGCACAGCAUCGCAUGAUGCAGUGUGAAAAACUCCGGUGGUAUAAGAUGGACCCGCGUUGGGUUAGCUAGUUGGUGUGGUAACGGCCCACCAAGGCGACGAUCCAUAGCCGACCUGAGAGGGUGACCGGCCACAUUGGGACUGAGACACGGCCCAG
rnacentral:rRNA from 1 species